rnacentral:rRNA from 1 species
CCUACGGGUGGCAGCAGUGAGGCAUAUUGGUCAAUGGCCGGAAGGCUGAACCAGCCAAGCCGCGUGAAGGACGACGGUGCCAAGCAUUGUACACUUCUUUUGUCAAGGGACAAAAUCAGGCCCGAGUGCCUGACCGAGGGUACCUGAAGCAAAAGCAUCGGCUAACUCCGUGCCAGCAGCCGCCGUAAUACGGAGGAUGCGCGCGUUCUCCGGAUUUAUUGGGGUUAAAGGGUGCGUAGGCGGGGUGUUAAGUCAGCGGGAACAGCCCGGGGCACAACCCCGGCGAGCCGUUGAAACUGGAUGUCUGGAGAUGUCGAGAGGUAUGCGGAAUGCGCGGUGGAGCGGUGAAAUGCUUAGAUAUUGCGCAGAACUACGAUUGCGAAGGCAGCAUGCCGGCGGCUAUCUGACGCUGAGGCACGAAAGCGUGGGUAUCGAACAGGAUUAGAUACCCGGGUAGUC